GGGACCCGCACAAGCGGUGGAUGAUGUGGAUUAAUUCNAUGCAACGCGAAAAACCUUACCUACCCUUGACAUGGAUGGAAUCCCGGAGAGAUUUGGGAGUGCCCGAAAGGGAACCAUCACACAGGUGCUGCAUGGCUGUCGUCGGCUCGUGUCGUGAGAUGUUGGGUUAAGUCCCGCAACGAGCGCAACCCUCGCCAUUAGUUGCCAUCAUUUAGUUGGGAACUCUAAUGGGACUGCCGGUGCUAAGCCGGAGGAAGGUGGGGAUGACGUCAAGUCCUCAUGGCCCUUACAGGGUGGGCUACACACGUGCUACAAUGGCGACUACAGAGGGUUAAUCCUUAAAAGUCGUCUCAGUUCGGAUUGUCCUCUGCAACUCGAGGGCAUGAAGUUGGAAUCGCUAGUAAUCGCGGAUCAGCAUGCCGCGGUGAAUACGUUCCCGGGCCCUGUACACACCGCCCGUCACACCAUGGGAGUUGGUUCUACCCGAAGGCGAUGCGCUAACCAGCAAUGGAGGCAGUCGACCACGGUAGGGUCAGCGACUGGGGUGAAGUCGUAACAAGGUAACCGUAAGGGC
rnacentral:rRNA from 1 species